UGUGAAAAAAGCAAGGUGGAGAGCAAUGCUGGGGCCUUACCUUUUGGUUGCUUCAUCUUCCUCGAUUCUCCAGACGAGUUGGUACUUCUUCCCCGCUUUUGGACGAAUAAAUGGCAUUUACUUGUCCAAGAAAAAAUAUAAUAACAAAAAGGGAACUGACCCUUUGUGGCUUGUGGACAUAUCAGACAUGGACCAGCUUGGUUUGAGCGCUGAACCAAAGAUGAAAAGCAUUAACUUUCAUUAAUCAUCAAUUUCGAUAUCCAGUCCCAGGAGAAAGCGACAAGGCCAUCGGAUGUUUUCUUAUAUAAAAACUGUGAGUCGAGAUCAUUUUAGAUUUGGGCUCAACUAAACUUAGGUUCUAUUUGGUAUUAAUAUUGGUACAGUUUUACAGAUAAAACCCAAAUUUUAUAGCAAAAGUGAUGCUAAACAAAUAUAUUUAUAAUAUAUGUAAAAGUAUGAAUUUGAAUGGACAACAA